AGCGAAAUGCGAUACUUGGUGUGAAUUGCAGAAUCCCGUGAACCAUCGAGUCUUUGAACGCAAGUUGCGCCCGAAGCCGUCAGGCCAAGGGCACGCCUGCCUGGGUGUCACUAAUCGUUGCCCCAACCCCGGCGCCUCCGGGCACUGGGCGGGGCGAAUGCUGGCUUCCCGUGAGCAACCGCCUCGCGGUKGGCUGAAAAUCGGGUUCGUGGUGGAGAGAAGCACCGUGACAGAUGGUGGUUUGAGUGCAAUCUCGAGGCCAGUCACGCGUGCCCCUCCGCCGGUUACGGACCCCGUGACCCGCGAGCGACACCGAUCGCCCAUGAUGCGACCUCAGGUCAGGCGG
rnacentral:rRNA from 1 species